rnacentral:tRNA from 1 species
CCAUCGGUGGUUCAGUGGUAGAAUGCUCGCCUGCCACGCCGGCGGCCCGGGUUCGAUUCCCAGCCGAUGCA